UACGAAGGCAGCAGUGGGGAAUAUUGCACAAUGGGCGCAAGCCUGAUGCAGCCAUGCCGCGUGUAUGAAGAAGGCCUUCGGGUUGUAAAGUACUUUCAGUCGUGAGGAAGGUGUUAAGGUUAAUAACCUUAGCAAUUGACGUUAGCGACAGAAGAAGCACCGGCUAACUCCGUGCCAGCAGCCGCGGUAAUACGGAGGGUGCGAGCGUUAAUCGGAAUUACUGGGCGUAAAGGGCACGCAGGCGGUUAAUUAAGUUGGAUGUGAAAUCCCCGGGCUUAACCUGGGAAUGGCAUUCAAGACUGGUUAGCUAGAGUCUUGUAGAGGGGGUAGAAUUCCAUGUGUAGCGGUGAAAUGCGUAGAGAUGUGGAGGAAUACCGGUGGCGAAGGCGGCCCCUGGACAAAGGCUGACGCUCAUGUGCGAAAGCGUGGGGAGCAAACAGGGAUUAGAUACC
rnacentral:rRNA from 1 species